rnacentral:rRNA from 1 species
ACGCUCGACACCUACUGGAGGCAGCAGUGGGGAAUAUUGCACAAUGGGGGAAACCCUGAUGCAGCGACGCCGCGUGGAGGAAGAAGGUCUUCGGAUUGUAAACUCCUGUUGUUGGGGAAAAAGAGGAUGGUACCCAACAAGGAAGUGACGGCUAACUACGUGCCANNCGCGUAUCUGAGCGGGCGUGGCGAAGGACG